ensembl:lncRNA
CUGUGGUAAUUUAUGUUAAAAAAGAGAGUCAUUUAGUUAAAAAUAUGUUCUAUACAGUCAGCAUUAGUUUUUCUGUAUCUUAUUUUGAAGGAGUAAUCUGUGUUCGCAAUGCAUUGUGGGAAGCAGACGCUGCAGUCAGUCGGGAAAAGCAUUGUACAGAAAACCUGCCUAUCUGUGUUUAAACUUCAUCUCCUGUGGCCUGAAUCUUUAUAUACACCAUCGAAAGCAAUGGCUUUUCUCUGAGCAUUGCAUGGCCUGACCUUGGAGUGAAUUUGCUGGCAUGUCUACUCCUGAUGACCUGCUCUAACUUCUAAGCCACAGCCACC